AUAUGUGCGUGUGUGUGUACAUACACAUGUACAUAUAUAUUCUGUGUAUACUGCUUAGAUUUUGUCAUGGUGUGACGCAGUGACGCAGUGACGCAGUGACACUUUACAAUGAGGUGAAAUGCAUUAAUAACAAUUAUAAUUUAAAUUAAAUUAUUACGCUCAUGGUAAUUUAAAUGGUUUAGCAAAGGUUUUUUAAUGAAAAUCAAUCAAAUUAAGCGGACAUGGCAACACUGGAAGAAACCAUCGUUUAGGCAGGCGCCGGCUUUUCUCGCGUGAUUACACGUUCUGACGUCAUACUUCUUUACGUUAGUCAAGGGAACUGCAGAGCGAUUUCACCUAUAUUUCUAUAAAGAGCGUUUUAGUUAAUUUAGUAUUUUAUCGUUCAUGCGUUCCCGAUUAAACACAUAUUUUAUGGCUGUAAUAUAGGACGUUGCAACGGAUACUUUGGGAUGGGUUGUGCAGACCUUAUGUUAUAGCUUGCUCUGUGUGGACAUCACCGCCACCGUGGAAGAAAACGGCAGCUCAUGGCACCAGGCCUACACAAACUCGGGCUCCAGCCCCCUCCCAGCACCACCCGAACACUUGUGCAAGGCCUGCGGAGGCCAGUUUGACACCGUCAGAACGCAUGUCUGCGUGGACUGCAAAAACAACUUCUGCAGCCGCUGCUCGGUGCAGAUGGACCUCCGGCCGCGGAUGUGCCACACCUGUCAGCGGCUCCACUGCACCUUCUUUGAACGGGCAGAGUUGAUGAGGCUGAAGGUGAAGGACCUCCGUGACUAUCUCCACCUGCACGAAACCCCCACGCAGAUGUGCCGAGAGAAGGAGGAGCUGGUGGAGCUGGUGCUGGCUCAACAAACUCCCAGGGGCAGCGGCAGUGCCGAAUCCCGAUCACAGCCGGCUGCACCUUCCCAUCCUCUCGCAGAAUCUGAAGCCCUCACGGAGGAGGAGGACGACGACGAGGAUGAAGAGGGUGAGGAGGAGGAAGAAGAUGGAGAUAGAGAUGGAGAAGAUGAAGAGGGCGAAGAAGAUGAUGAGGAUGAUGAGGAGGAGUCAACAGACAGUGAGGAGACGCUGGUGCACAGCAGAAGAGCCUCUCUGUCUGACCUGAGCAGGGUGGAGGACAUCGAAGGCCUCAGCGUGCGGCAGCUGAAGGAGAUUCUGGCACGGAACUUUGUGAACUACCAGGGCUGCUGUGAGAAAUGGGAACUAAUGGAGAAGGUCGCCCACCUCUUUAAUGAUCAGAAAGACCUUCACAACCUUGUUUCAAAUACAAAAACAGAAGCAGCUGAUCCUGCUGAGCCCAGCGGCCAGGAGGAGAACCUGUGCAAGAUCUGCAUGGACUCUCCCAUUGACUGCGUUCUGCUGGAGUGCGGCCACAUGGUCACAUGCAGCAAGUGUGGGAAACGCAUGAACGAGUGUCCCAUCUGCCGACAGUACGUGGUUCGAGCUGUGCACGUCUUCAGAUCGUGAAAUUCGAGUGCAAAGAGACAGACUGUCCCCUACAGGUUGUUGCUUUUUCACACACUGAGCAUCAUUUUCUCGACAUUUUGUCAGUUUUUUAAAUAAUGCUCCAUUUUGCUGCUUUGUUUCUAAGUUUACCUGAUUAAAUGUGCACUUAUUUGUUUUUUCAUUGCAACAGUGUUAAGGUGUGGCUUCAAAGUUGUGUUUAAUAUAUUUGUUGGCUUUUGCACUUUUUUUUAAUUAUUAGGAUUUUUUCUUUAUAUCCAUCCUGCAACAUUUGCAUUAUUGAUAUAAAAAAUAUAUAAUAAGCAAGCAAGGUUUAAUGGCAAAAGUUGCAUCAAUGAUGAAUAUUUAUUAGAGGAUAAGACGUUAAGAAGUCUGUAUAAAGAACACAUUUAAAUAGGUGGAAUACACUUGGAAAUGUCUAGGAUGUGAAAACAGGGUAAGAUGGUUGACUUUAAUUUUUAUUUGGAGCUCAAUUCUCAUGUUGUUUCUGUGUUUAAGUCUGUAUAAUAGUUCACCACUAUAAUGUGACCACUUCAGGGGUCAUUCCACUCUUGGUUAAAGAAAUAGUUUGCUGACCCUUAGGCCAUCCAAAAUAUAGAUGAGUUUGUUUCUUCAUCAGAAAUGAUUUGGAGAAAUUACAUCACUUGCUCACCAAUAGAUCCUCUGUAGUGAAUGGGUGCCGUCAGAAUGAGAGUCCAAACAGCUGAUAAAAACAUCUCAAUAAAUGCCAUCAAAUAAUGUUUUGUGAAAAGCUG
ensembl:lncRNA